GGGAGGAGCCGCCCGGCCGCUGCGUGCGGGGGCUCUGCGCGCUCUUAAGGUGGCCCCGAGAGCGCGACGGGAACGGGACCGGGAUAGCCGGGGUGUCCCCGGGGGGGCGGCGGUGGGAGGAUGCCCGCCCGGCCGUCAGGGUGAGGGAGCUGGGUGGAGGUUUGUGCCGGGAGAUAAGAGCCUGUCACAUGAGGAUUCCCGCUGCAGAGACGGGGAGCGGCGGCUGGAGACAGUCUGUGCCUUCCUGUGUGUCCGAGGCUGGGCCAGCAAACACGUCCCUCGACGACUGUCCAGCCUUUGAAACUUCGGAGCUCCCGGCAGAAUGACUGCAUCUCUGAGGUGGCAAAAGACCUCUGAGAACAUCGAGUGGAACCUUUGACUGAACACUACCACUGCAACUAGAUCAUGGCACUGAGUGCCACAUCCAGUCUUUCCUUAAACACUUCCGAGGACAUAGGCUGCACCACCUCCCUGGGCAGCACAUUCAUGUCUAAUCACCGUGAAGAAAUUCCUCCUGAAGUCCAACCUAAACCGCUCCUGACACCAGCCUGAGGCUAUGUCCUCCUGGCCUGUCACUUGCUAGCUGGGAGAAGAGGCCGACCCCCACCUGGCUGCCCCCUCCUUUUAGGUGGUUGUAGGGUGAGGGGGUUACCUCUGAACCUCUUCUACAGGCUAAACAACCCCCGUUCCCUCAGUCGUUCUUGUAGUUGUGUGCAAGUGCAUAAACAAAGGUUUUCCUGGCUGAGAAGGUUUUUUUGUUUUUUUUUUUUUUUUAAACCCAAGCCAAACACCUAACCCUGCCCAAGGAAAAAAACGUUAGGAUACCUGCAUGUUACAUAGGAUUCCUGAGAUGCCUGUUUAUUACUAGUUGCAAGUGGAAGGAACAGUCCUUCAACCAGGAUGUAGAAGAGAAUUCCUUCCCAUAUACUGAGACUUUCAGUGUCCCAACUGCCAAAAACCAAAGCCACCUCCUACACUUUCCUGGAUGCGAGAAGUCCCAACUGCCUGCUACCCAUCUGUCAAAAUUUAUAGAUCUCCUUAGACAAAUAUUAACAAUUCAGUCAUGCGCAAAGCCUGUGGCAUAUUGAAAAAAUUGGGAGAAGGAUAAAAUACAUUGAAUGUAAUGUAAAAAUAA